rnacentral:rRNA from 1 species
GCCCACUGCCCGCCACCCUGAACGCGCCCGAUCUUGGCUGAUCUUGGAAGCUCAGCAGGGCCGGGCCUGGUUGGUACUUGGAUGGGAGACCGCCUAGGAAGACCAGGUGCUGUAGGCA